rnacentral:tRNA from 2 species
GUUAAUGUAGCUUAUCAAAUAAAGCGAGGCACUGAAAAUGCCUAGAAGGGUCACGAGACUCCAUAAACA